rnacentral:rRNA from 1 species
GGACAGGUUAUUAAGAGCCUAUGGUGGAUGCCUUGACACAAAGAGGCGAUGAAGGACGCGGCGUGGCUGCGAUAAGCCUCGGGGAGGUGCUUAGCAACCUUUGAUCCGGGGAUUUCCGAAUGGGGCAACCCGUCUCGCAAUUCAAUGCGGGACAUCUUUCGAGUAACGUCGGAAGAAGCGAACCCGGGGAAGUGAAACAUCUCAGUACCCGGAGGAAAAGAAAAAACAUCAGCUUUUAGCUUUUAGCUCAUAGCUUUCGGGGUUUUCCCCGUCGGCUAAUGGCUAUAAGCUAUAAGCUGAAUUAUUCCCUUAGUAGCGGCGAGCGAAAAGGGAAGAGCCUAAACCCGUUGCGUGACGCGCAAGCGAAGCGCGGCGGGGGUUGCAAGGCAAUGACGUUUGAGGUUUAAGUCGCAAGAUUUAAUUUUCAAGAGAGUUAAAAAAUAAAACGGUUAAUUGAACGUCCCUGGAAAGGGCGACCAAAGAGGGUAAUAGUCCCGUAAAUGAAAAUUGUUUUGUCUCUCAGUCAUUGUUCUUAAGUACCGCGGGGAACGACAGCCCCGUGGGAAGCCGGGAUGACUAUAAUCCCAAGGCUAAAUACUCUUUGUGAUCGAUAGUGAACUAGUACCGUGAGGGAAAGGUUAAAAGAACCCCGGUGAGGGGAGUGAAAUAGAACCUGAAACCAUAAGGCUUACAAAGAGUCGGAGUCCCUCCGCCCGCAAGGGCGUUUGGGAUGACGGCGUGCUUUUUGCAGAACGAGCCAACGAGUGUAUGUGCGUUGCGUGCUUAAGUCGCUUAAAAAACGACGAAAGCAAAGGGAAACCGAGUCUUAAAUGGGCGAUUUGUAGCGCAUAUACGACCCGAAGCCAAGCGAGCUACCCCUGGCCAGGAUGAAUCACGGGUAAUACUGUGAGGAGGUCCGAACCGGUGAGUCGUGCAACGCUCUCGGAUGAGCUGGGGGUUGUAGUGAAAAGCUAAUCGAGCUUGGUAAUAGCUGGUUCUCUCCGAAAUAGCUUUAGGGCUAGCCUCUGAGUUCCCGUUUUUGGAGGUAGAGCACUGGAUGGAUUGAGAUGCGAAAGCUACUUAGUCCAAUCAAACUCCGAAUUCCGAAAACAAAUGCUCAGGGAGUAAGUCUAAGGGGGCGAAGCUCCUUAGACAAAAGGGAAAAAGCCCAGACCAUCAUCUAAGGUCCCUAAAUUCGAGCUAAGUGUAAAGGAAGUGGCCCGCCAGAGACAGGUAGGAGGUUGGCUUAGAGGUAGCCAUCCUUUAAAGAGUGUGUAACAACUCACUACCAUAUGGCGGACUGCGCCAAAGAUGUAUAGGGGCUAAGCUCGGUACCGAAGAUAUGGAUGUAUUUCGCGCAAGCGAAGUACGUGGUAGGAGAGCGUUCUUUAUGCAGUGAAGCAGAACCGGAAGGUUCUGUGGAGCGUAAAGAAGUGAGAAUGUUGGCAUGAGUAACCGCAAGUCCGGUGAAAAACCGGACCACCGAUAACCUAAGGUUUCCUUGGCAAUGUAAAUCAGCCAAGGGUUAGGCGGGCCUAAGGCGAUGCCGAAAGGCGAAGCUGACGGACAGCCGGUUAAUAUUCCGGCCCCGCCUUCAAUCUAUCCCGCAGCAAUGCGGGAUAAAAUGGGGUGACGUAAUUUGAAGGUUGAGGCGCGUUAUUGGAUUCGCGUUCUUGAUUUUUGAUGGAUUUUCCAGGCAAAUCCGGAAAGUCGUUAACAUCGGAGAUUGAGAAAAUUUUUGAGCAAUCAAGAAAAUUUCAGCCAACCAGUUACCUAGAAAACCCUCGUUAUUCCGGUGUUUUUGCUUUUUCGGAGCAAUCCGUAUUGGCGAAUGCCGGUGAUUGGAGGCGACCGUACCACAAUCCGACACAGGUAGGUUGGGCGAGAAGCCCGAGGUGAACGGGUGAUUCCUCGUUAAGGAACUCGGCAAAAAAGCUAGACGUAAGUUCGCAAUAUGUCUUCCCCGCUUAGGCGGGGCGCAGCUAAAGUACCCCUAGCGACUGUUUAUCAAAAACACAGCUCCCUGCUAACUCGCAAGAGGAUGUAUAGGGGGUGACGCCUGUCCAGUGCUGGAAGGUUAACGGUAGAUGUCUCUUUGUAUUUGAGAUUAUAUCAAUGACGCGGAGAGGCUGAUGCCCGAAGCCCCAGUGAACGACAGCGAUAACUAUAAUCGUUCUAAGGUACCGAAAUCCCUUGGCAUGUAAGUUAUGUCCCGCAGGAAUGGCGCAACGACUGGGGGACUGUCUCAACGAGGAGCCCGGUGAAAAUGCAGUGGUGGUGAAGAUGCCCCCUACCUGCGGCAAGACGAAAAGACCCCGGAAGCUUUACUGCAACUUGAUAUUGGCUUAAGGUUCUGGAUGCGUAGAAUAGGUGGGAGGCUUUGAAGUUCGCCUUUCGGGGCGGAUGGAGCCGUCAGUGAAAUACCACUCUUUCAGGACUUUAAAUCUAACCCCGAUGAUGAAAACGCCGGGGGACAGUGUCUGGCGGGCAGUUUUGGUGGGGCGCUAUCCUCCUAAAAUGUAACGGAGGAGUUUAUUAAGGUCGGCUAACUCCGGAUGGAAAUCGGAGUGAUAGGGUAAAGCCAUAAGCCGGCUUGACUGCAAGGCGUAUAUGCCGCGCAGCUACGAAAGUAUAACUUAGUGAACCGAUGGUUCUUUGUAGAAAGGCCAGAGAUUAUCAGACAAAAGCUACUCCGGGGAUAACAGGCUAGUCGCAUCCAAGAGUCCAUAUCGACGAUGCGGUUCGGCACCUCGAUGUCGGCUCAUCUUAUCCUGGGGCUGGAGAAGGUCCCAAGGGUUUGGCUGUUCGCCAAUUAAAAAGAUACGUGAGCUGGGUUCAAACCGUCAGAAGAACCUUUAACAUCGAUAAUCACACGGCGGCUUUCACGAGUAAUCGUGAUCGAAUAAACCGACUCAUAUCGGUGAAGUCCUAAUAUUGUAUGGUAACCUGUCAUAUGUUAGGAUAAUACCGAGGGAAGUUGUGUAUGACUAAAAAUCUUUCGCAAACACAAAAAGCUUAUCUUGCCGGUUUUCUUGAUGGUGACGGCAGUAUCUAUGUAAGAGCAAAACCAAAUCCAACGUAUCGUUAUGGAUUUCAGAUUGCUCCAUAUAUUGUUUUAUUUCAGUCCCAAAAAGAUAAAGAUAAUUUUUCGAAGGUUUGCGCGCUUAUUGGCUUAGGCCAUUUGCGUGAAAGGAAAGAUGGCAUUUUAGAGUAUAUUGUUAGUAAAAAAGAUUCUAUUGAUGAGUUUCUACAAAUUGUAAAACCGUAUUCUAUUUUGAAGAGGGAACAAGUAGAACUUAUGUCUAAGAUUCUUAAAGCUAAGCAUAAAGUACAAAGCAAAAAAGAUUUUGCGAUUCUGAUUGAUCUUAUAGAUCAAUUUCGAGAACUCAACUACUCUAAAAAAAGAAAGGUUCGUACAUUAACCCCGUAGAGACUGAUCCCGAAAGGGUGAGAGUCGCAAUGCGGCUCACACGUCGGUCAUCCCGGUAAAACCGGGAUGGUGGUAUAGUCCGAUCCCUUUAGUAAUAAAGGAAAUUCGUUAUUCGUAUCAUUCGUCCCUAAGCCCUUUGGGCCGGGAUCCCGGCUUCUUAGCCUAGGGACAUGCAUUUAUAUAUUUGCAUCGUGUUGUAAGCGAAGCGAACAAAAGCGUGAGACAGGUUGGUCUCUAUCUGCCGCAGGCGUUGAUGCUUGAGGGAAGUCGCUCCUAGUACGAGAGGACCGGAGUGAACGAACCUCUGGUGUACGAGCUGUCCCGCCCGGGGCAAUGCUCGGUAGCUAUGUUCGGAAGGGAUAAGCGCUGAAAGCAUAUAAGCGCGAAGCCCCUCCCAAGAUUAGGCAUCGUUUAGAUCCGUGGGAGAUGACCACGUUGAUAGGCUGCAGGUGUAAGUCCGGCAACGGAUUAAGCCAAGCAGUACUAAUAGAUCGAAAUCU